rnacentral:rRNA from 1 species
GAUGAACGCUGGCGGCGUGCCUAAUACAUGCAAGUCGAGCGAACAGACGAGGAGCUUGCUCCUCUGACGUUAGCGGCGGACGGGUGAGUAACACGUGGAUAACCUACCUAUAAGACUGGGAUAACUUCGGGAAACCGGAGCUAAUACCGGAUAAUAUAUUGAACCGCAUGGUUCAAUAGUGAAAGACGAUUUUGCUGUCACUUAUAGAUGGAUCCGCGCCGCAUUAGCUAGUUGGUAAGGUAACGGCUUACCAAGGCAACGAUGCGUAGCCGACCUGAGAGGGUGAUCGGCCACACUGGAACUGAGACACGGUCCAGACUCCUACGGGAGGCAGCAGUAGGGAAUCUUCCGCAAUGGGCGAAAGCCUAACGGAGCAACGCCGCGUGAGUGAUGAAGGUCUUCGGAUCGUAAAACUCUGUUAUUAGGGAAGAACAAAUGUGUAAGUAACUAUGCACGUCUUGACGGUACCUAAUCAGAAAGCCACGGCUAACUACGUG